GGUGGAGGUGUCAGAAGCUGAUUUUGUGGAGCUGGUCCAAACCCUGCUGAAAGACCCAGCUGAGAGAGAGCACUUCCUCCAGCUGGGUCCCAGUUAUGACUCAGCUCUGCAGAUGCUGGUUUCGGAGUUCCUCUCCAGACUGGAGCAGCUGCUGCCAGUACCAGACCUCAAACAGACUGUAUCAUGGCUCGGUGCUGCCCCCUCUGUCCUGGAGGAGUGUGUGCAGUCUGCCUCUCACCCACAGCAGCUUAAGACC